rnacentral:rRNA from 1 species
GAUGAACGCUGGCGGCGUGCCUAAUACAUGCGAGUCGAGCGAACAGAUAAGGAGCUUGCUCCUUUGACGUUAGCGGCGGACGGGUGAGUAACACGUGGGUAACCUACCUAUAAGACUGGAAUAACUCCGGGAAACCGGGGCUAAUGCCGGAUAACAUUUAGAACCGCAUGGUUCUAAAGUGAAAGAUGGUUUUGCUAUCACUUAUAGAUGGACCCGCGCCGUAUUAGCUAGUUGGUAAGGUAACGGCUUACCAAGGCAACGAUACGUAGCCGACCUGAGAGGGUGAUCGGCCACACUGGAACUGAGACACGGUCCAGACUCCUACGGGAGGCAGCAGUAGGGAAUCUUCCGCAAUGGGCGAAGGCCUGACGGAGCAACGCCGCGUGAGUGAUGAAGGUCUUCGGAUCGUAAAACUCUGUUAUUAGGGAAGAACAAAUGUGUAAGUAACUGUGCACGUCUUGACGGUACCUAAUCAGAAAGCCACGGCUAACUACGUG